rnacentral:rRNA from 1 species
UAAGCCAUGCAUGUCUAGGUAUAAAUAACUACACAGUAAAACUGCGAAUGGCUCAUUAAAACAGUUAUAGUUUAUUUGAUAUAAAAAAUGGAUAACUGUAGAAAAACUAGAGCUAAUACAUGCCUCAACCAUACGGUUGUAUUUAUUAGAUAUACCCAGUAGGUGAUUCAUAAUAACUAUGCAAAUCGUAAUUAUGUUACGAUAAAUCAUUCAAGUUUCUGCCCUAUCAGCUUUCGAUGGUAGUGUAUUGGACUACCAUGGCUUUCACGGGUAACGGAGAAUUAGGGUUCGAUUCCGGAGAANGAGCCUGAGAAACGGCUACUACAUCUAAGGAAGGCAGCAGGCGCGUAAAUUACCCAAUCCUGACUCAGGGAGGUAGUGACAAGAUAUAACGACGCAAUUUAAAAUUGUGAUUGUAGUGAGGGUAUUCCAAACCGAACUUCGAGUACGAUUGGAGGGCAAGUCUGGUGCCAGCAGCCGCGGUAAUUCCAGCUCCAAUAGCGUAUAUUAAAGUUGUUGCAGUUAAAAAGCUCGUAGUUGGAUUUCAAAGUUUGCGACGGGUAAAACCGGUUCGCGGCUUACCACUCCUAACGGAGUGUUACUGUGAGAAAAUUAGAGUGUUUCAAGCAGGCUAUUGCAGGAAUACAUUAGCAUGGAAUAACGAAUGGGUCUAGAAUCUUGGUUAAUUCUAGAUUUCGAUUAAUAGGGACNGUUGGGGGCAUUAGUAUUUAAUUGUCAGANGUGAAAUUCUUGGAUUUAUUAAAGACUAACGUAUGCGAAAGCAUUUGCCAAGGAUGUUUUCAUUAAUCAAGAACGAAAGAUUGGGGAUCAAAGACGAUCAGAUACCGUCGUAGNUCCAAUCUAUAAACGAUGCCGACUAGGGAUUGGGCUUUGGGCGUU